GGAAGAGGAUGGGGUCCGGUGGCCCCCGCGGUCUUCAAAACCGUAGGCUGCAAUUUAUUGCAGCGGCAGGUUCGAUUCCUGCCCCUUCCGCA
rnacentral:tRNA from 1 species